AAGUAUGUCACUCGAAGAAGUCAUGCUAGGCUUGCUCAGCGUCUUGCUGGACUUGCAAAUCUGUAUUGGUUUAUGAGAACUUGCUCGAUUUGCAACUUUGUUUUCAUUAUGGCAAUUUGCCAUAAGCAAAGACAGACUUGCAACACUACCUUGGUUUAUGACAAAUUGCCAUAAACCUAAGCAAAGUUGCAACUCUAAUAAGUUACCAUAAAUCAAGGCAGACUUGUAAGUCCAGCAAGAGGCCGAGUAAACAUAGGUUGACUUCUUCCGACCACAUACUU
rnacentral:pre_miRNA from 1 species